AUACGUAGGUGACAAGCGUUAUCCGGAUUUACUGGGCGUAAAGGGCGUGUAGGCGGUCUUGCAAGUCAGAAGUGAAAUUCCUGAGCUCAACUCGGGCGCUGCUUCUGAAACUGCAGGACUUGAGUGCUGGAGGGGAUAGCGGAAUUCCUAGUGGAGCGGUAAAAUGCGCAGAUAUUAGGAAGAACACCGGUGGCGAAGGCGGCUAUCUGGACAGUAACUGACGCUGAGGCGCGAAAGCGUGGGGAGAAAACAGGAUUAGAUCCCCGGGUAGUCCACGCCGUAAACGAUGAAUACUAGGUGUAGGGGGUAUCGACUCCCUCUGUGCCGCAGUUAACACAAUAAGUAUUCCGCCUGGGGAGUACGGCCGCAAGGUUGAAACUCAAAGGAAUUGACGGGG
rnacentral:rRNA from 1 species